UUACAGACAGAUCUAUUCACGAAGAAAGAGAUGCACGCUUCUUAUUCAGUAAUUAGUAUGUCCCUGCUAUUAAACAGUUUGCCAUAUGUAUAUACCACACACAAACAAACACACACACACAGACACACAAACGCGCGUGCGCGCAUACACGGACACGUAUGUAUUGUUAAUAUAUACAUAUGCAUAUACGUAUAUACAUAUGUGUAUAUUAUUAUAUCUAUCAUGCCAUUGUCUUGAUAUAUGCGCUUCUCUUUCAUUAACGUUGCGCAUUUAUUGUGAAUCUUUUAUUGUCGAGACAUAUCCGACGCAUCUGUCGAAGGUGAUAUGCAGGAAGUUCCAUACAUUUGAAUUGCUUGAAAUGUUACUGCCGCGAAUCUGAAUUCACAGAAAAAUAUGAAAGUUGUCCAGUGAAAAUGAAGGAAAUGUUUCGAGCAAUGAAAUCAGGUGUGACGCCCUGUAUAUAUACGUUUCGUUUACUUCACCCUCGAAUGCUUUAGUACUAAAAUUAAUUUGUCUCUGUACCCCGACCUGUCUAUGCAUCAUUUUUUUAUCGCACUUGAGGUUUCUCACGGUACAAAUGAUCUGUUACAUAAUGUCCAAUAUGUACUGCAUGCAUAUUAUUAAUGUUCUCAUACUAGAUUCGAUUGUGUCACGAUGCUUCUAGUUUCGCGAUCCCUCCGAGUUAAUUAUGCGCGGCCAUUUUGUUUCAUCCGAGCGGAUAUCGCGGUAACGACAAUGGCGUGAUUUCAGAUAAAACGAUCAAAUUCACGCUGAGACUAUUUCGAGAGGAAAACAAUGCGAAAGUAAUCCUUUAGAACAGUAUAACACAGUAAUAACAGUCGAUACAAAAUGCUGUUCCUAUGGAAUGUCUUUUACUUAAACGUACAAUGAUUUCGUGCUUGAGGCGCAAAAGGUCGAUACAUGAAGAAUUUUUCAAUUGAUUACUUUACCAGACUCGAGAGAACUUUUAAGCUCGUGGCAACUCGGCUAUCGAAGGAAAUAUGUUGUAUCAGAAAUCACGGUGCAUGUUUAAGUUUAAAAGACUCCGUGGGACGAAAUAUUACACCUUCCGAGAUUCACCUCUCCAGACGUGCAACACUUUUCCCUGUUCUCUCUGGUCUCGCUCCAGGGCAUUAUUUAUUUAUCUCUGCCAUGAAAAAGGACACGAAAAUUCUGUCGCUUGCAUAGAGUGCUUCUGACGCCUGUAACCGGGAAAAAAGAGACUAAACACGACUAAGAAAACGACUGGAAGACGACUGGAAAACUGUGACUAAAAGAAACAGAGCAAAGAAAAGAGCAGGAAAGAUUGACAAAGACAGGGCAAAUUAAAGUGGGAAGCCCGCGUUGUCCGAUUAACAAACUGCCUACGAAACAGUUGACGAAACUUUCCUUGAUCCCGAACAAUCCGAUUGCAUUCCACGAUUUCUCUAUUCGAGAUUCGAGGUUUUACUUGUUUCUUUCUUUGUGAGCAUAAUCAACUCUGUUGUUAUGGUUGCGGAGUCGCAGUUGACAUAGUGUUGAACUUAUUUGCAGUAGAAUAUUAUUAAUUUGACAGCUUACGACAUCCCAUAUUCACAUUAUACGAAUGCCAAUAACUGCUGACUUUAUCCAGCCACCUACGGCAGUUUCGGUUCGCUGGCGUGGAUCAACACUACCUGCCCCUCCUCAGCUCCACGUCCGGAAAACCUCCAUGGAUCUACCUCUAUCUAUCUUUCGUAGCUUUAGUAACGAGUGAAUGUGUGUGUUUCGAGUCUUGUAAUUCACGCACGCGAACCAAAACCCGGCGGCCUUCUCGAGUCGGCUUCUGGCAGCACACGAAUGCUUGGGUGAUGAAGAGAGGAACUCUAAUAACCCUCCGAACAAUCGAACGAACGAUUAUGGUUCACGAUCGAUCAUCACGACCAACUGGGGAAUUUCUUUCAUUUUAAUUUCAAUACGAUCGCCGCUAUCGGUCAGAUCAUUCCACAAGCGAUGUCGUCCUUGAUUCGCGUAUUAUGGACUUGGCUGACAUUAGAGAAGCUUUGCUGCAACUCUCACGACAACUUGCAACACCGUUACACUCUCGACUAACCGAUUCGAGUCUCGUCGUUUGUCAAUUUCGAACUGUGCGACUUUCAUUUCGUUUCAUUUCAUCUCAUUUCUCUUCGUUUCACCUCAUUUCACUGCGUCUCGUCUCGUUUCAUCUCAUUUCAUUCUACGUGCUGUCACUGCAAUUACAUUCGUAUAAUCUGUUCGAGUUGAUACGAUUCGCCAAGCGCAUCUUUAACGUUUUCCAUUGUUUUCUCGGGCGAGGUAUAAAUAAUCGUGUACAAGCAAUUCGAGUUAAUCGAUGGAAUCCCAGCAGGCUGUUUCCGAAAUGUAAGAUGGUAAAGUUUUCCAUAGACCGCGGCUAGAACACGCGAAAUUGUUCGAUUCGAUAAACACGACACAGAAAGUUUCUUCGAGUUACUUCCAAAGACAAAAUGACUUGUCGAAUGAUCUGAUACAUCAACACCAUCCUCGAUAAUUUGAACGCGUACGAUCACCACCCAAGCAGAAAACCACCCCCUUCUCCCGGGCCAUUAUUUGCAUGACCAGACUCUGUGUUUGUAGCAAAUUAUCUCUUUACGCAGUUGCAACAAUUAUUUAUUAUUAUUACGAUCAUUAUUCUUGUCCCUAUCACGAUCUAUAUACAUCAUUGUUCAUAUUUUUCUUUCCAUCUUUUCUCGUUACCACGAUUGUUCGUAAUUAAGUUACUGAUCUGUUGCUGUGUUUCUAAUAUGUUGUCGCCAUAACACGCGAUAGGAUCGGUGAUUGCUUGACAAGAAAAGAAGAAGAUGAUUCCAUUUUAGCGACUUGUCUCUGUGUUUCUCAUUUUUCUUUUCUUCUCUUUCUCUUUUCCUCCUUUUCUCUUUUUCUCUUUUUCUUUUGUUUUUUGUUUUUUAUUCUUUAAUACACUGAUAUUAUUUGCACGCUUCAAUGGUGAGCCUAUAGUAUUAUACUUUCGCGCGAUACGAUAUAUUGCAAACCGUUUCGUCGUACGUAUUCUGUAAGAGUUAGUUAUAUUUUUCGUUGUUUCCUAGUUUAACGAUUCUCUCUCUCUCUUUCUCUCUCUCUCUCUCUCUUUGUAGAUUGUUAACGCUUUUUUGACUUAACUUGUUUCUUUCGCUAACCACCAAUACCGAGUUUUCCCCCCUUUCUCUAUCUCUUUUUGGAGAUUUCGAUGUUUCAUCUAUUUGCUGCAUUUGUCUAUCAUAUUCUCGGAACGUACGAAUUCGAUCUUCCUAAAUGACGAGUGUAUGCGUGUGUUUCUGGCUGUCUGCGCGUCUGCCUCUCUGUGUGUGUGUGUACAUAUAAUAUGCAUACAUCUUUCGCUCGGGGCUAAUCUCAGGAACGGAACGGUAGUGUAGCUGGGCUGGAGUAUUGUACGCAAUUUUUGCAUACCAUCUUGCUAUAUUCUCUACUGUACCGAGUGAGCCAUCGAAAACGAAACAUUUCGGUAGGAUCGUUCGAAUCCAACACCAGCAAGUGCGAUCGGACUUUUCUCUGGUCACGAAUGUCGGUUUCAGCCUGAUCGGGGCGGGUUCUCUCUCGUUUCCAUCGGGUCUCUUUGAUCGACUCGACUUGUUCGGACCAAGAUCAGUCGUGUGCACCGCUCGGCUGGCUCGAACAGAAAGAUUCUCCUAGACUCGGCGAAUUCGGAUGAAACGCGAAUCGAUCGUGUAAACUCGAAUACCGAAGAAUAGAGAUCGCGGAGAAAACGGUCGUCGCGUUCGUGUAUGGCUGACCUCGAUCCGACAAUUAUGAAACAGCUGUAAAGUGUCGAACAGACCUCGAGAGAUAGAAACGUUCUAGGUGUAGAAGUGUUGCGUUUUCCAUGUCUCACCACCUUUAGAUGUUGCGUUUUCGAUUCGACCAGCAGCUUACAGACCAGAGCAGAGUCUGUGCCACGUAACAGUAUUUCCGCGCGAGUAACCGAGUACUCGAGUUUCCCAGUGGUCCGUGUACAGUGAAAGAUACAUAUCGUUACUGGACACCCUCCCGGUGUGCCAAGAUUUUAAUCGACAAGUGUGCAACCGUCCCGCCUGCAAGUUUAUCCAUCUCAGUGACGGAAACGUGGAGGUGAUCGAGAAUCGCGUAACUGUGUGCAGGGACGCAGUGAAGGGCGCGUGCAUGCGACCCCAGUGUAAAUAUUACCACAUACCGGUCGCGUUGCCGCCAGCACCCCUGAUGGCGGUUACAUCACCUGGGACGCCCUAGUUACUCCUUCUCGUUUAGUGGAUAACGCGACGAGGCGAUCAGUCGGAUAGAGAAGCCGGACAGACAAACCACUGGCGAAAGUGUGUGAAAGAUGAAUGUGAAAAGUUCCAGAAGAAAGAAGGAGAGGAAACGAUCGAGUGACCGAAUCACCGAGAAACCGAGAGAAGCCGAGAGAAGAAAGGGGAAUACGAGAGUAUCGUAAACGAACGGACCGUGAGUUUCUCGAACAGGCGUUUCGCUGGAUCGACCUGAUCGUCGAAGAAGACGGACGAAUAGCAAAAAGGAUCGAUCAGAGGGCACACGAGUUCCAACUGUUUUGUCCUCGUCGAUUCGCAUCGUCGUUCGCAUCGUCGUUCGCGUCGUCGUUCGCAUCGUCGUUCGCUUCGUCGUUCGCGUCGUCGUCGACAUCGAAAGGACCGACUCGAUUCUAUUUCAUCCUCCUCUGCGAAUCUCCUCCGUUGCAUGCGUUACCGUCGCGAGUAGGUGGAGAGGAAGGACACACCGAGAAACCAACUACGAUCAAAGGGAAACGAAAGAGAACAAAGCCAUAAAGAUUCCACUUUCUUUUCCCUUUUUUCCUAUUGGAACUGAACGAUUUCAACGAUUCGUCCGACAAUCGACUAGCUGGUGUCGAUUCCUCCAACUUUCGAAUGUCUGGUAACGAUGUAUCCCUAACAGGAAAGAUCACGAAACCGUUCAAGAGUUCAAGAAUCUCGUAGCAUCAGCCGAUCCGCGUUGCGUCGGCGAGAGGAUUGAUUGCCUUUAGACACCUUGUUGCCGCUAGGUAGACAACUAUCGAUAGUUAAGUAUGCUGAUAUCGCACCACGUUACGUUACGUUUCGUUUCGUUUCGUUUCGGUUUUUAGAUUAGGUUAGUUUAUAUUCAGUUGGAGAAUUUCUCACAGAAUAAUUGCUUGUGUUUGGUCGGACGAAUAUUGAAAAUUAACUUGAAACCGUCCCUCAGGAUGCUUGAUAAUAAUUGAGCAUCGUUAGACAAGGUCUUCCUUGAACCUGCCUUCUUUCUUUCUUUUUCUUUCUUUCUUUCUUUCUUUCUUUUUUUCUUCCUUUCUUCCUUUUUUCAUAUCGACUUCCAACAGAGAAAGACAUCAAUGUUGAGAACCAUAAAACUUGAUGAAUAUCUUUCUUUCGUGCUCCAGCAAGUUUGGUAGCCAAUAACGCUCUCUAAACUGCGUUCCACUCUCGCAGAUGCCCGCGGUGACGCUCGGUAUAUUUUUAAGCGCAGUACUUGUCAUUCUUAUCAUUAUUGCACAAAUGACUUGUAAUUGUACUCCGACUUCUGAUCGAUAGAUCGUUGAUCACAUGCUCUAAGAGUCAGAAGUUAGUGGAUCGUAGCUCUGAUGAAAUAGACAAGUAUAAUCCCUAACUAUGUACAUACUUCUGAAUUUUCAAACUCUCGGAACAGGCAGAGUCGAAUUUCAUAUUACUUUCAAAAGAUAUUUCUCGUUAAAAGUAGGAUUAAGUUUUCCCCGUUUAUACGAUUGAGUAUUAAUAUCCCCAUAUGUGAUUCGUUAGGAUCUCUAUUUAAUUUUGUAUUACGAACUUUCUUCUGCGUACCGAGUAUAUCCAGUAAUGGAUUUCUUUUGGCACUUCCAUCGAGUAGACACAACGUUUUAUGUUCUUCCAUGAUUUCAAGAAACAGAAAAGAAUGAGGAAAACCAGAGUUACAGAUACGUAAGUGGUACAGGUCGUAAGAAAUAGUUAGGGAUUCAAGUACUACCGACACUCUCUUUAAAAUUCACAAAUCCGUAUGCAUUGAAAAGAAUUGAAACGGUACGCGUUCGACGUUCAAACACUUUCAAAGAAAGAUCCACUUCGAAAAACAGAUGUAUUGUAUUUAUAAAUUGAUCCGUUUACCUUUAUUUCGACGUGUAUCCGUUCAAUUGAUAACCUUGCAAAGUAGUGCAAUUGAUUUUGCACAGAAAGAGUAACGUAUAUAUAUAUUUUUCUUGCAUCACAAAUGCGAACGAUUGCAAAUAUACCAUAUUCACGGUGAAAGUUGAGGGAACGAUGAAAUAAUCGAGGAAGUUUCGAACCUAGACGAGUCGAAGGAAGGCCAGGCGACAAAAAUAACUUAACGUCUAACGAAGUUUUUAUACACGUAUAUAUUAAACAAAUUCCACUUAUAUUUUGUUUCUAUAUCGAUAUACAGAAGCGUAUGUAUGUACGUUUCGUCUGAUCGACAAACGCACGUACAUACGCUGUGAGACACCUAUCGAUCGACGAGGUCGAUUGGUAUUUCAUCGAAGCAGAAGAAACGAGACGACGAGAAGUAAUAAGAAGGAAAAGGAGGUAGUAACGACCGAUGGUCGGAGGACGAAACGAUGUUACAUACACAUAUGCAUAUAUAAUAUAUAUACAUAUUAUAUAUGAGUAUAAAUAUAAAUACAAAUAUAAAUAUAAAUACAAAUACAAAUACAAAUACAAAUACAAAUACAAAUACAAAUAUAAAUAUAAAUAUAAAUAUAAAUACAAAUAUAUAAAUAUAUAAAUAAAUACGUUCUUCCGUGGGAGGAACAAAGCCUUACAUCAAGGUUUCCGGCGGCUCUUUAAUUUUCGAUCAAUUUAUUUCUCUGUUUUCUCCAUUCGCGAGAAGGAAACGCCGAAAAUCUACACACCCUAGGCGAGUAAACGCUAUUUAAUUACUAACACUACACAAAUGUAUAUGACAAAUAUAUACACAUAUACGUACUAUAAGAAAUUAUAUUUAAUUAAAGUAAUAGGAUUUUUUGGAAGGAGGCGAGGUAUGCUACGAAACAAGUAAAUACGAGAACGAAUACAAUAAACUCAGACAAACGGAAAGGAAGAGAGAGGAGGGUAGCAGACAGAUAGAGAAAGAUAUAUUAGCAAGAAAAAUCAUUCGAAAAACGAGCAACAAACGACAUGGGAAACUAGUCGCGUAAAGUGUAACAGUCUUACGUUUGCUGCUACUCCCGAUGCGAAGAAAUUUCAAUGAGAUUCGAUUUUCACUCAAUCAUUCGCAAAGUUUCACAUUUGAUCACACGUGACGGUUCUUUCGUUUGCUUUUGUCGGCUUAUUACGUGAAGGACCCACCGUCGAUUGCGAUUUCUGUCGUUUUUUCACUUUUAUACAUCCUCGAGUUCUCGAUGCUGUUAUUUUCUAUUCUGUCCGCGCGACGAUUCAUUGCCUUUCGUAGGAUAAUCGACAAAUGGAAAUAUUCGAGGAAUCAUGUUUGGUAGAUGGAACAUCGAACCACUGACACGUAUCCGAAAGGUCUGAUCGACAGUGGAAAGUGAAGAGAAAAGGGUGAAACAUUUGAAAAGAUCUCCGGAAGCGUAGUAUUAUUUUCUUGAUUUUACGUUGUACCUCGACAGUCGUAAAUGAACGGUUUGCAACACAUUCGAGUAGAGUAUUUGUGAGAAAUCUCUGGAGAAUCGUCAAGAUAUAGCAAAGAAAUGGUAGAGUUCGAAAGCGAAGAUCGGGUAACAAGUGGUCCUGAACAGCCAACGAAGAUAGCAAAGAGUCUCUCGUACUAAAUAGAAUUUCAGAUAUUUCAUUCCGUAGGACGUGUAUGUCUGAUGCGAUUGUUUUUUAUUACAAGCUAGACACACACACACACACAGUGUAAGGUCGGUCUGACUGUUCGCGUACCGUUCAGGCUCGGCUAAACGUAGGCAAUUAAAGGUAAAAUAAUAAGAGAACACGACCGUCCAGGAAAGGCUUUCAACCACUUUCCCGACCAAACCCAUAAGAGCAAGUCUUUUCCUUCAUUCGAGAUGAUUGCAAGCGUGAAACGCGUUGUUCGGCUAGCCAUACGAUGACGUAGGGUCCUUUGCGUGUUCUCUCGCUACUCAUACAUGACACGAACGACCAGAAUUUCUUUCAAUCGAUCGACUAACAGACAUACACGUGCACACACGCGCAAAGUCACUCUCGAAACUGAACACACCAAUCGUUUUCCAUCGAUUACGAUUCGACGAUAUCGUUACUUAUUUCAACGAGAUGCAUACAUAGGUAUAAACAAAGUAUUCUAACGACAAAAUAAUUAUAGGUUUACCGAUACGAAACCAUUGAGUAUAACAAGAAAAUCGAAAAAAGAAACAUUAAGCGACUAAAGCGAUUAAACGAUUAUACAAGUAAAUGUUCCUGUACAGCAUUUAAGAAUCAAAGGACACACUUCUUAUAUCGCGACGACGCAUACAAAACGAAACACGAGAAAAUACAAAAAUAGAAAUCUACGCUACUUUUAUUUCGUUAGGUUUUGCAUUCUUUCAUUCUAACUUUCAUUCGUUUCUUGUCCUUUUUCCGUUCAAUGUUGGUAUUAGAGGGGAAAGAUCAUGAGAAAUCAACGCUGUAAAUUAUUCGUGUAUGUACAUAGGUUAGACACUGUACUGUGAGAUGGAGACAGUUUUAAAGGAGAUUAUUAUUGUAGUAUUCAACGAUAAUUGUUCGUGGUUUCGCGAAUGUGAUACGAACAAAGUUUUUUACCAGUACACACACCUAUACAUACAUACACAGAGACACGUGCACACAUACGUACGUACACACGCGCACACGUAUACAUACAAAUAUAUUUUAUCACGCUUUCUUCGUUGUAAAAUUUUACCGUUUCGACGUUCGAGAGUCUAGUCACGAACAAGUAGUUGUCUUUUUUUCGUGUGUUUUUUCUUUUCAAAAGACAAACGUUUAAAAACGAAAAACUGCCUUCUGGAAUGUUGCUGAUCGGAUGCCGUCUCGUGUUUUCGCGUAUCGCAGAUAAUCUUGACCCGCGUGAACAACAGGGAAGCUCGCUUGCAGAAAGUGGAGGUGACAAUCCCGCGAAGAGUAGAGACACGAGUAGAGACACUGGCGCAGCGACAUUUACGUGGCCGUUCCUUCAUUACUAUCGUUUCGUGUAAGAACGAAGAUUUCAUAGAACGGUAUCGAACGACAAGAAAAUUGAAAAACAAGUGAAAAAAUAGAAGAGCAGGAAUAUACGGACGAGUUCCUCGUGGCCGCACCUAGCAUGCAGAGAUAGGGAAAAUUUUUCUAUUUCUAUAGAUGAAAUAUUUCUUCGAAUAAUAUACAACGAAUAGGAACAAUAUACACCGGUUUUGUUCGUUUAUUCGAUUAGAAUCUUUUCGUACUCUCCUUCACCGCCAUAAAUAUAAUAAUCGGACAGAGAAACUUUUAUCCUUUAUCUUUUAUCCUUAAUCUUUUAUCUUCCACCUUUUACCUGUUACCUUUUACCUUUUACCCUUUACCCUUUACCCUUUACCUUUUACCUUUCACCUUUCGCCUUUCGUCUUUCAUCUUUUAUCUUUGACUAGUUACUUGAGAAUCCUUGUCUAAAAUUUUGCCCGUCUCUGACACCGUGUACAUAAAUAGAAUUAGAUAACAAAGAAACGGGAAGCGUCGUACGGUAUAUCUGGAUAAAGCUAUAAGUACAAUAAUUAACGAAUGUCCAUUUAAGUAACGCCGAUACGAAGAAGAAGAAGAAGAAGAAGAAGACGACGACGACGACGAGAACGUUUUCAAUUGCGACUUUUAUCGUGUUCGAAUAUUUUUUGGGUGAUUUUUUCUUUCCGCGCGAGAUCGAAUCACGACGGUGUUGUCGAUUGUUUUUUGUAAAUCAGGUGAUCGCGAGUGUGAUAUAUUCGAAUUCGUCCUAAUCGCUGCCAAUCAUCGAGCAAUGUUUUCCGUUGUUUCGAAACAACUGGGAAACUCCACGAACGAGAACGAUCGUUUUCUCACCCCGUGAUGGAUCGCGUUACGCGCUCGCGCAAACGUGUCGUUUAAUACUCGUCCUCGAAAGCAGAAAGGUCCUCGACGAUCGUAGCCUUCGGGUUGGCUCUCCAACCUCCAGGUUCACUCGGAAUUAAGCGGCGCUUCUAUUUUCGGGAACGAAACUAGAAACUGGCGGGAGUUGUCGACUCUCUCGAUCAGACACAGCCUCGGUCGAGACGGACGCUUUCGCGCGCGCGCGCAAUGUUGGCACACCAUUUUAUUUCGGUUCGAAGCGAAACUGAUCACGCGUAGAAUCCCGAACGGGCGAGAUCGUGUAGAGGUACCCCGUCUUUCCCUUCAAUACCAAACGUUCUAGCAAAUAAUACACGGCAAGCGUUGUAACGAGAUAAUUGAUAAUUACGCCAGUAUGGAGGAGGAACGGAGAACGAUAGGGAGAACGGAGUAGGCGUUGCUCUGUUCUCCUGGACACUGAAACCGUUCGAAGAUCGAACAAUGUGAAAAAUACCUGUAAAUAUAUUACGUACGUAGGUAGGGAUAAGGAAACACGAAUCAACUAAUUAUCAAAGAAAAACAAACGAAAGGUAACACGACGAAUUCACUGGAGUUUGAGCUUCCCAACUUGAGUCAAGGGUUUUAGCUGCUACAGCAAGCAAUCGCAAAGCGAUUCAAAUCAAAUCGAUUAUUUGUAAAACGAGCAAAGAAGAGUUCGCUUGCUUGAACGCCGUGCCGCCGUGCCAGAGGAUUCCUAUCUUUCGGCGAAUAGAUAGAGGAUCGAAUCGAUUGUUCGGCCACGGCGGGUUCGUAUGGCAAUUUAUAUGCGCUAUCGCUUUAAACAGACAAAAGAGUGCUGCUUCGCCGAGCCAGUGGAUAGUACCGGUAAGCGGAACAAACGGGGAAUCGACCUCUGUCUCUCAUCUUUUCGGCUUCUUUCGUUACCACGUGCACCUACAAACGAUCCUUUAGAGACUAAAAUCUAAUCUAUUUACGCCUCGGAGCAGUUUCUCCUUGUAUUCGAUUCGAGCUGAUAACUAUUCUCUGCAGAAAACCGAAAAUUCCGUUGGCCGGGUUCAAAUAUUUCAUUCCAUAAUUAACAACCACCGACGAGACUGUGGGAUUCUUCCGUUUCUUCUACGAACCACCAGCAUUCCUCUGACUCGAAAAUAUAUACUCGCGUGUACCUACCUAGCUUCUUGCGCGCAAUGCAUUUUGACUCUACCAAGAGAACGGAACCAUAGAAGAAAAGGGAAUGAACGUUCUAGCGAGCAGUCGCUUGCGACAAGUAUAUCGAUAGACGCGAUCGGAAAACAGAAAAGAGACAGAAAAGUGGAAAAUCUCGGUGGACAGAGAGAGAGAGAGAGAGAGAGAGAGAGAGGGAGGUCGAACGGAAAUUUAAUCAAGCGCGUACUCGCUCUGCAGAAUAUCGGUAGCCGAGCCACCGUGGCUGUUCGAACGAAAGCGGGGCCGGAUGUUUGGAUAUUUUGGUAGUUUUUAAUCGGAUCGUACACCAUCGACUGAACAGAGCCCAUCCGAAAUUGCCGACACGAACGUCCGAACGGAUCUUGUUCGGAUCACCCGUCCACGGUUCGCGGCGGAACGUGAGAACGGUUAUCAUUGGCCCACGCCGAAGAGCCGACGCUCGGCGGAUCGAGAGGAAAAGUGGCAGAACAAACGGAUAGAGACUGUACCGAAGUAAAUACAUUAACAGACCGUCCACGCCAGGGACAAGCUUGUCCGAUGAAAGGAACGAGAGAUAGCGGUGUCGCGAUCGACGAGAAUUUUCUUCGAGCCAAACGCAGGAACUCGAGGAAUCGUAGAAAUACGACUUUGGUUCUAGAUCAGCGUGUCUAUAAUCGAUACACUGUGGAUGUUUGCGCGGAUUCGUGGCUUCGUUCGAUGCGUAAUCUAGCAGAAUGCCAACCGAACAACAACUUUAUUCCGUCGAGGCCCCUGCACGCGACACUCUUUAGUCUCUGUCACUUUCCGUACGACGCGAGCGUGUCGUAGAGACAGUGAAAAAGUCGCAAGCCCGUCGUUCGCCUCGAGACGAGCCUUCUCAGCAGACACUUCAUUCUCGUUUCGUUCAAUGUUUUCGUCUAUUACCUAUGCAUAAGCAUCCGCAGUUAGUAGUCAAGUUCAACGGAAGAAAACAUGUGGAAACAGCAUCACGAAGGAACCCGAACGUAACACGCUUGUGAAAUACACUAGAUAUAUAUGAAGAUGUAUGUAUGUGAUACAUACAUGUGAUCAGGUACACUGGAUGCAUACGUCCACACAUGCGUCUACGUAUGCGUAGACGUAUGCGUAGACGUGUACGUGGACGUGUACACGACGCACGCACGCUCGCACGCACGCACGCACGCACGCAGGCGCACAUACAUACAUGCCUAAUGUAUAUAUACAUAAUAGUAGAUACAGCAAAACGAAUAUAUUAUAUAUGAAUAUACAUAUAAUAUAUUUUUGACUUUUAUUCUACAGUAAGUCGUAAGUGGACCGUGUACCGGGACACUCACUAAAAGACGGACAAGCCCCUUGGUUGCAAAUAUACAUAAAAAUCGUUCAGACAAUUUGGCUGCUCGACGUAAUUUCUGAAUUCCUCUUAUGGAUCUAAGCGAAACCCGAUCGAUACAACCAGUCGAUGGUAGAAAAGGAGAAAUUCAAAUGUCGAAGUAGGGGGCAACCUGAGAGAAAGAAGUGUGGGCAACCGAACUCUUCUGCAGAGCGAAGUGUUUGCGCGUAUUGCGCUUUAUUGCGCGUAUUGCGCGGGGUGUUUCCCUUCUUGGUGGAUAAAGAUCGAUACACGAAAGAGAAGAUUCAACAAGAAUUCGAUGAGAAUAGAACGACUGGAAUUUUCGUUACACACGCAUUACACACGCAUUACACACGCAUUACACACGUAUGCACAUACAGUUAUACACAGUGACAAACAGUGACACGCGCAGAAAUAAAAUAUGUAUUAUACGUGUAUAGAAAGAGAGAAAAGAAUAUAUAUAGAUGUACCGUUCGAGCAGAUGCUCCCUCUUCAAGAGAGUUCCUUUUUAUUCAGACUAUCGUUACAUACACGAAAGAAAACGGAUAAUUUUCCUGGAGAACGAGAUUAAGUAGAACGCGCAGAGUUAUGGAUGGCGCGGCCGCGCGCAACGGCGGCUCGACGAAUCGCCAACGAAAGUGAAAUGCCCCGUACGCUUGUAGUCUCUCCGAUUUCGAGUACAAGAACACGCAAUGAACAAUUGUCUAGGCGAACCAAAAAGAAAUCAAGUAAAAACUCAAGAAACAUGGAGACGAAACAGAUGCAUACGUUUUCGAGACGACUCUUUCUUAGAUAAACGUGGAAAAGAGAUGAUAACCAACAGUCAAAACGCGUUUUUCGACAUUGAUAGCUAUCGGUAUUUAACGAUUUAUCGAUAUAAUUAAAUGUUCUUCGAAACUAAGCUAACGAGGACUAAUAGUAUUUUUCAAAGUUAGAUGGUUAACAUUAGCAGUACGUUGUAGCGUGUACACGAUCUUAGCAAGUAGAGACGACAGGAGAAGAGAAAAACUUUGAUCACUCGAGUAGUUUGCAUGUUAGUGAAUCCAGCCUACGCCAAUAAGCUUCUUGUAGUCGGUAGUCAAGUAUUUAAGCCGCAGUUACUCCUCACGAACGGACAAACACGACUUGUAUCGUCUUUUAUGCUUUCGGAGGACACGCUCCUCGAACUCAAACGACGAAGCGACCCCAGACUGGUUUCCGUGAUACCGUUUCGUCGUUUCUCCGUUUAUAUUCCCGCUUCCUCCUAUCCUUUUACCCCCACAAGCUUCCUCUUCUCACCCAUCCGAAGAGAAACUGAAACUGGAACUGAAACUGAAACUGAAACUGAAACUGAAACAGGUCAAAGGGCUGAUUCAGCUCGCACCGAGUAACGCUUAGCGUCUAAUCUAUCUACUAAUACCGAAACGUAACCAAGAAACGACGGAAAACUUCAUUUAGACAAUGCGUCUGACGAAAAAUGAUGAGAAAUCAUGAUGAAAAAUGGAGAAAAAUGGUGAAAAUGGUGAAAAAUGAUGAACAACGAUGAAAAAUGAGAAAAGUAUAAUCAUCGGACCCAGGUCGUAUCCUGCGAGAACGAGAUACGUCGCCAGAGUAGAGUAGACUCCACUUUCUUCUGUGGCGCGAACCUUCUCAACAGACUGUAUCGAGGAGUCGAAGAAAUUGGCGGUUCAAGGUCAGUAAACGGUGAGAAGAACAGCAGGAAUCGGAUGUUCCGUCGUCCAUACGAUUAGACUACCCCGCCAUUGUUGAGCGACAAGUGCAGAGCAUUCUCCUUUCGAACUCAGUACUCUAUCCACAGACGAGACUCGCGGAAUAAUCUUCUCAGACUUGUACUCCGUGUAUUCCAUGUAUUUCCAUGGGGGACGUACGUACAGAUGCGUUUCGUCCGACACCCACGGGAUUGGCCACAGACUAAAGGCUACCAGAGUGCCGAGAGACGAGAGCCAUCAAAGAACCAACGCAGUCUAUGAGAACACGAAAGAAAGCCCAGUGCAGCAAUAGCGAGGGAACAGCGAACGACGCGAGUUGCAGAGUAGAAGCGACCUUGAUCAGUCAGUUUUCUUAGCUUCCGCUUCGAAAAGAAGCUCGAGAAAAGAAGUUCUCGAUAGCACGACGAGGGACUGCCAGAAAUGUCUGUUGACGAAUUUUCGACGCUUCGGACGGCGAAAUAGCCUAGCAGCCCACCCGAAACCCCCCACCUACUUGCCCCAUUGCUGGCCUUCGUUAAGAUUGAAUAGCCUCGUUCGUCCAAUCAACGCAACAAACUUUCCAAGGCCCCUAGCUUGUUCCACGGUAGCAAAGAACACGUAGGAUUUCCGGAGUAGUCAGCCUUUUCGUCGAGGGAGAGAUUGCUGAUCGCGCGUUCAUUAUUCGAUUCGUAAUUAAGAUACUAGAGCUAGACGGACUGUUUAAAUAAUGGUAGUCCACUAUUCUCCCCGAGCUAGACCACGAUCGAUCCGAAGCUCGUGGUUGUUUCCUCGCUUACGCGAAAGCUUCCACGCCAUUCGCGAAACGCUUUCUUAGCUCCUUCUACACACGUACACGUAUGCUAUGUGCGUAAACAAACGUAUUCGUACUAAUAUUCGAUUAGACGUUCUUGAUCCUACACGGACGCGCGCACGCCUGAGCUGUGCUAAGAAUAGCGUGUUAUUACUAUACGUAUAUUUAUCGCAACUAUACUCUUACUCUAGAAGUAGAUUAACCCGCUUAGGAUGUCGGUGUGACACUUUUGCUGAUCGCUAGUAGUGGGCUCGCGCGUCGUUGUCGCGCCGAAUGUGCUUCCCGCCUUCUUCCUUUCCAUACGGGCACCAUUGGAAUCUCGAAAGCUAACAGAUCAAUCGCGAGAAUAUGUAUAUUGGAAUAUAUUGGACGUUUCAGAUCGUUUCAAAUCGUUUCAAAUCGUUUCUCGGUUCAACAUCGGGAAUGGAAUUGGGUUGAUCUUUCGAAAACCUUUCCAACUUUUCCAACUGGAAGAAUAGUGUGUCGGCUCGUGUCCAGCACGGGGAACGAAUUGAAAGAGUGUUGUUAAACGAUAUCUCGGUAUCCUAGAUCGAACGGUUCGACGAGGAAUGCCAGUUGUGCGGGGUAUUUUCGAAAAGAGCUCCAAGAGUUCCGAAUUUCCGGGAAACUGAAGAAAAUGAAUCUCGCGACAGUUCCCGACGAGAGAUCCGAAUUGUAAAUUGCAGUAUAUCGGUUGCUCGAACGCAGACCGAUAUUAAGGUACGUUUAGUUGGUAUUCUAAUAGAAUAAGGAAUAGAUGUCUAGUCGUGAAAGUUCCUCGAAUAAACUUCUGCCGCGCGCGCGCAAUGUUCCACGUACACGGUACUAGGAAAAAUGUACGUUGUACGGAGCAAACGUACGGAACGGAGAGAAACGCGAAAAGGACAUUUCGGACGCUUCAACGACGCAACCAUAGCGAGCAACUCGCACGUUACGAGAGAGAGAGCACUUCCGUUUUAAGACUAUUUCUCUGGGUCACGCGUAUAUAUUCCAACGGCCACUAGAUGUUAGAGUAGUUCCUUUCCGCGAUAUUAGUGACCGAUCGCCUGUAGCCUCGAGAAGAACAGUUCGGUCUAAUCACCAUACGUCGUUGUAUAGUCGAAAGAUGGCUUGAUCUCCUCUGUCCCACACACGCCCCCGUCAUGUCCUUCCGGUACAAUAACACGGUUGCCCCCCUUGACUACAAGUUUUCGAAAGAAAAUCAUUUGGAAACGAACACACACACGAGAAACAUUCGGAUUCAUCGAGAAGAACACGAAGAAAAGGAAUACCUUUGUAUUCGCGACUGAUUCGGCACAAUCUCGAAGAUUAUCGAGCAACGUAAGCAAAACGAAAUCUAACAAGCCCUUACGUAACAUUCUAAGCUCAUCAAUCGAUCAAAUGUACUCUCACAGUUUCACAAAAUAAACAGAGAGAAUCUUCUGUGGCAGCAUAAUAAACAGAGAAAAAAUUACUAGUUCGACAAGUUAAACUAAUCGUACGUUGGGGACGAGCCCGAAGGGUUCCCGGCGGACCAACUAACAUUGCCGCCGACGACCCUCCGGAACGUUGCGUCUUCCGACAGUGAUGUAACUAUUAACAUGUACCCCUUAACGUUAUAUUUUUCCGGUGGUAGCCUCAGCGUUCGCAUCGAGACCAACGAUUCUUCCCGAACGGUAAACCAGAGAGAUUUCUCAUUCGAGCUCUCGCCGAACGAAAGAGAAAGAGACAGAUACGCGCGAACGCGGUUUCGAUGCGAACGCGGAGGCUGCGCUAGCCACCGGCAGUUUGUGAUAUAUUUAGUAAAACAAAUUUAACAAGAAAAUGGUUGUUAUUCGAAUUAAAAAAAAAA